UCAAAAACAAAGGUGAGUGCGGAAAAAAUAUAGAAAUAACGAUCGUAAAAAAAAAGAAGAGAAAACAAAAUAUACUCGAUGGUUCGAAAAGAAGCACUCAUCGAAGGAAGAACACUCGAUUGAAAAAAAAGAGAAUGUCAAAGAAAAAACCCGAGCGAUUGAAAAAAAAAAGAAGUAAAAUGAAUAAACACAGUGAAGAGAAUAUUGACAUUGGCUCUGAAUCCAAAACCACUUACUUGUUUUCCCUUUUUAUUUAUUUACCACACCAUAAACCAGGCCCC
rnacentral:lncRNA from 1 species